rnacentral:rRNA from 1 species
UACGGAGGGUGCAAGCGUUAUCCGGAUUCACUGGGUUUAAAGGGUGCGUAGGUGGAUCGGUAAGUCCGUGGUGAAAUCCCCGAGCUUAACUCGGGAACUGCCGUGGAUACUAUCGAUCUUGAAUACUGUGGAGGUAAGCGGAAUAUGUCAUGUAGCGGUGAAAUGCUUAGAUAUGACAUAGAACACCGAUAGCGAAGGCAGCUUACUACAGGAAGAUUGACGCUGAGGCACGAAAGCGUGGGGAGCAAACAGG